CCUUUAUGACGUGGGCCAUUGGAUUAGCCAUCAUAGAAGUGGACUGUUAUGUGGUCCCCCUCCAAUGAGAAGAUCACUAUGAGAAGAAUGAGAAGCUAUCUCCACCGUCCAAACGAAUUAAAUUCAAAGGUUUGUGAUAUGACGCGUGAAAAUAAGAAAAACUGAACCCCAAUUAAAGGAAUUAAAACACGAUUUUCGCUGCUCCUUCCUGCGUUUCUCUCCCUUGCUUGUUGAGCUCUCUUCCAUGGCGGAAAUUAGACCUCUCAAAAUCAAUUGUUUCUCCUAAUUCUGGUUCUCAGAUUGCAUAAUUUCUGAAAAGAUCAACGACUCGGCAGCAUGAAGAAAUCAUAGUUAUGAUAAAUUAGGAUAAUGUGACAGCUGAUUGCGGACUAAGGAGAUCACCAAAUCAGACAAACUAAUGAUGCUAAGUGUUGACCUACUGGAGCUGUAUGGAUUAGGAGCAAGAAAGAUUGGGGCAACUUCACUUCCCCCAUUAGGCUGUGUACCUGCAACCAUCACUCUAUUUGGGUUUCAUCAAGGUGGGUGUGUUUCAAGGCUCAACUGAGACGCGCAAGGAUUCAAUAGGAAGCUCAAUGCUGCUGCCAAUAAGCUGUCUAAGAAGCUCCAUGACCUUAACCUUGUUAUUUUCGACAUUUACAAGCCUCUCUAUGAUUUAGUACAAUAUCCCUCUAAAUCAAGAUUUUCUGAGUCCAGGAAGGGAUGAUGUGGGACAGGAACUAUAGAGACAACAUCACUUCUAUGCAAUCCAAAGUCUGUAGGAACAUGCAGCAACGCCACUCAGUACGUGUUUUAGGACAGUGUGCAUCCUUCAGAAGCUGCAAACCAGGUUCUCGCCAAUGCCCUCUUAGUUCAAGGGAUCGCACUAAUCGGUUAAAUGGUGUUCAAGCCUCUUUUCUUCUACCAAGCUUGUAUACUACAGACAGAAUAUUAAUUAUUGCAUUCUUGCAAAAGAAUUUAUCCUAUAGCUUUCUAUUUCAGUGUAUUUGUUCUCAAAAUGUAAGACCUCUGUUGUUCCAAGGAGAUCAGUAUGUAAUCAAAUAUAGUAUGAUACUACAUGUCAACAUCGUCUGUUAGUUCGUCAUAUGUAACUACUAUGAGUCUACAGAACUUAUAUUAUCAUUUUUUAGCAUAAAUUUUGAAGUAUUCA